GAUGAACGCUGGCGGCGUGCUUAACACAUGCAAGUCGAACGAAGAAUUUGCGACCGUUUUUUUCGGAAUGAAGUUGCUUAUGACUGAGUGGCGGACGGGUGAGUAACGCGUGGGUAAGGUGCCUUGUCCUGGGGGAUAGCAGCUGGCAACGGCUGGUAAUACAGCAUAAGCGCACAAUGUUGCAUGACAUGGUGUGAAAAACUCCGGUUGUAUAAGAUGGACCCGCGUCUGAUUAGCUAGUUGGUGAGAUAACAGCCCACCAAGGCGACGAGCAGUAGCCGGCCUGUGAGGGUGGCCCGCCACAUUGACACUGAGACACGGUCCAGACUCCUACGGGAGGCAGCAGUGGGUAAUAUUGCAAAAUCGAGUAAACGCUGAUGCAGCUACGCCGCUAGAGUGAAGAAAUUAUGCGUGAUGUAAAGCGCAAUCAGCUGGGAAGGUAUUGACGGUACCUGACUAGGAAGCCCCGGCUAACUACGUG
rnacentral:rRNA from 1 species